ensembl:lncRNA
GGCAUGGAUAUGGCAUCCCUGGCACAAACACAGCAUCCCUGGCUUGGUGAUGGUGGCACUGCUGGCACAGACACGGCAUCUCUGGCACGGCCAUGAUGGCAUCCUGGCAAUGGUCAUGAUGGCAGCCUUGGCACAGACACGAUGGCAUCCCUGGCAGCCUUGGCACUGUCACGAUGGCAUCCCUGGUAUGGACAUAAUGGCAUCCCUGGCACAGCCAUGAUGUCAUCCCUGCCAUCCCUGGCACAGACACGAUGGCACCCCUGGCACGGCCAUGAUGGCAUCCCUGGCACAGACACAAUGGCAUCCUUGGCAGCCUUGGCACUGUCACGACGGCACCCCUGGCACAGCCAUGAUGUCAUCCCAGCCACCCCUGGCACUUUCACGACGACACCCCUGCCAUCCCUGGCACUGUCACGACGGCACCCCUGGCACGGCCACGAUGUCAUCCCAGCCACCCCUGGCACUGUCACGACGGCACCCCCAAACCCAUCACCCCCCGUUUCCCCACUCACACUCGACGGUGACGUCGACGCUGCGCCGCGCCGAUCCGUGCCGGUUGGUGGCUGUGCAGACGUAACGCCCGGCGUCGCCGCGGCUGACGGUGCCGCCAUCCUCACCCCCCGGGGGUCCCCCGUGGCGGGCGCAGUGCGUGGUGGGCGCUGGGUCCCCCUCGGCGUCGCACGGCAGCUCCCGGCGCUGGCCCUCCAACCAGGUGCGGUGCGCCGGGCAGCCGAGCUCCGAGAGCGAGGGCUCAUCUGGGGGGCGAAGGGAGGCGGGGAGGGAAGCGUGGGGUGGUCGGAUCGUGGGAUCGGGGAGGUGAGGGAUCAGCACGUCGUGGCAUCGGCAAGAAGGGGAAUCGGUGAAUCGCGGGGCGGACAAAUCGCCAGAUCACAGGGCAGCCAAAUCGUGGCAUCGACGCGUCACCAAAGCAGUCGCCAAAUCACGGGAUCACCAAAUCAUGGGAUCACCAAAUCACGGGGUCACCAAAUCACAGGACUACCAAAUUAUGGGAUCACCAAAUCACCAAAUUGAUCGCCAAGUCACGGGAUCACCAAGUCACGGGAUCACCAAAUCACCAAAUCAAUCGCCAAAUCAUGGGAUCACAAAAUCAUGGGAUCACCAAAUCACGGGAUCACAAAAUCACAGGACUACCAAACUAUGGGAUCACCAAAUCACCAAAUUGAUCGCCAAAUCACAGGAUCACCAAGUCACGGAAUCACCAAAUCAUGGGAUCACAAAAUCACGGGAUCACAAAAUCAUGGGACCACCAAAUCAAUCACCAAAUCACGGGAUCACCAAAUCACGGGAUCACCAAACCACCAAAUCAAUUGCCAAAUCACAGGAUCACAAAACCAUGGGAUCACCAAAUCACGGGAUCACUAAAUCACAGGAUCAACAAAUCAUGGGAUCAACAAAUCACCAAAUCAAUCUCCAAAUCAUGGGAUCACCAAAUCACGGGAUCACCAAGUCACAGGAUCACCAAAUCACAGGAUCACAAAACCAUGGGAUCACCAAAUCACCAAAUCAAUCGCUAAAUCACGGGAUCACAAAACCACGGGAUCAUAAAACCACGGGAUCACCAAAUCAAUUGACAAAUCAUGGGAUCACCAAGUUACAGGGUCACCAAAUCAUGGAUCAACACAUCACCAAAUCAAUUGCCAAAUCACGGGAUCACAAAAUCAGAGGACUACCAAAUUAUGGGAUCACCAAAUCACCAAAUCGAUCGCCAAAUCACAGGAUCACAAAAUCAUGGGAUCACAAAAUCACAGGACUACCAAAUCAUGGGAUCACCAAAUCAUGGGAUCAACCCAUCACCAAAUCAAUCGCCAAAUCACAGGAUCACUAAAACACAGGAUCACCAAAUCACUGGACCGCCAAGUCACAGGAUCACCAAAUCACGGGAUCACAAAACCACGGGAUCAUAAAACCACGGGAUCACCAAAUCAAUUGACAAAUCAUGGGAUCACCAAGUUACAGGGUCACCAAAUCAUGGGAUCACAAAACCAUGGGAUCAUCAAGUUACAGGAUCACC